rnacentral:rRNA from 1 species
CCUACGGGAGGCAGCAGUGGGGAAUAUUGCACAAUGGGGGAAACCCUGAUGCAGCGACGCCGCGUGAAGGAAGAAGUAUUUCGGUAUGUAAACUUCUAUCAGCAGGGAAGAAAAUGACGGUACCUGACUACGAAGCCCCGGCUAACUACGUGCCAGCAGCCGCGGCAAUACGUAGGGGGCAAGCGUUAUCCGGAUUUACUGGGUGUAAAGGGGGCGUAGGCGGUUUAGCAAGUCAGAAGGGAAAGCCCGGGGCUCAACACCGGGACUGCUUUUGAAACUGUUGAACUAGAGUGCAGGAGAGGUAAGUGGAAUUCCUAGUGUAGCGGUGAAAUGCGUAGAUAUUAGGAGGAACACCAGUGGCGAAGGCGGCUUACUGGACUGUAAAUGACGCUGAGGCUCGAAAGCGUGGGGAGCAAACAGGAUUAGAUACCCCAGUAGUC